GCGCUCGUAGCUCAGCUGGAUAGAGCACCGGACUUCGGUUCCGGGGGUCAGGGGUUCGAAUCUCUCGAGCGCGCCA
rnacentral:tRNA from 1 species